UGUAGGCUUUGCCUGCUAUCUCUUACCCAUGUCUUUUAAGUACCUUACGUUUCCUCGGCGGGUCCGCCCGCCGAUUGGACAAUUUAAACCAUUUGCAGUUGCAAUCAGCGUCUGAAAAAACUUAAUAGUUACAACUUUCAACAACGGAUCUCUUGGUUCUGGCAUCGAUGAAGAACGCAGCGAAAUGCGAUAAGUAGUGUGAAUUGCAGAAUUCAGUGAAUCAUCGAAUCUUUGAACGCACAUUGCGCCCCUUGGUAUUCCAUGGGGCAUGCCUGUUCGAGCGUCAUUUGUACCUUCAAGCUCUGCUUGGUGUUGGGUGUUUGUCUCGCCUCUGCGUGUAGACUCGCCUCAAAACAAUUGGCAGCCGGCGUAUUGAUUUCGGAGCGCAGUACAUCUCGCGCUUUGCACUCAUAACGACGACGUCCAAAAGUACAUUUUUACACUCUUGACCUCGGAUCAGGUAGGGAUACCCGCUGAACUUAAGCAUAUCAAUAAGCGGAGG
rnacentral:rRNA from 1 species